rnacentral:lncRNA from 1 species
UCUAGAUAUGUUCGAUUUGGAUUAAAUUCGGCGUUUUCGGCGGAUUUUGUGCCGUUGUUAUACAAUUAGAGGGGCUAGAAAAUAAUACCAUUUUGAUUCAGUUGAAUAAGGUGGUGCUCACAGGCAUGGAACAGCCUGUGCCUUCAAACAUGGUGAUGCCACCUAAAGCAGUUCCAGCUACAGAUAUGCAGGUUCUGCCGCCGACGCAGGCUGCUCCCGCCUCUACGUCUCCGAAGCCUGUCAAUCUGUCGCCUGUCAAACACUCAGAGCCUAGCCACCAGAACAACGCCUCCACCAACAACGGCUCCGUCAGUAACCACAUGAAGCCGGCGGUGCCACCGCUGACGGCCAUAUCGUCCCUAGCGUCGGCAGCCCGGCCGCCGGCUGCGCCGCUGCCGGAGGCGACACCGGGCG